rnacentral:misc_RNA from 1 species
ACGAGUUCUAAAGUCGGUCGACCGUGCUGGCGGAGACGCAAGUGCACGUCGGUCGCGAACCAUCCACACACCGUGAACGUAUGGCCCGACCGUCCAUUGUGGACUCGGGCACAAUUUUUACACUCUUGCUGUAAAGGAAUGUUUUUAUAAUCAUAAACAUA